rnacentral:rRNA from 1 species
GGAUUGCCCCAGUAACGGCGAGUGAAGCGGCAACAGCUCAAAUUUGAAAUCUGGCCCCAGGCCCGAGUUGUAAUUUGCAGAGGAUGCUUUUGGCGCGGUGCCUUCCGAGUUCCCUGGAACGGGACGCCAUAGAGGGUGAGAGCCCCGUACGGUUGGACACCAAGCCUUUGUAAAGCUCCUUCGACGAGUCGAGUAGUUUGGGAAUGCUGCUCUAAAUGGGAGGUACAUUUCUUCUAAAGCUAAAUAUUGGCCAGAGACCGAUAGCGCACAAGUAGAGUGAUCGAAAGAUGAAAAGCACUUUGAAAAGAGGGUUAAACAGCACGUGAAAUUGUUAAAAGGGAAGCGCUUGUGACCAGACUUGCGUCCGGUGAAUCACCCAGCUCUCGCGGCUGGGGCACUUCGCCGGCACAGGCCAGCAUCAGCUUGCCGUCGGGGACAAAAGCUUCAGGAACGUGGCUCCUCUCGGGGAGUGUUAUAGCCUGUUGCAUAAUACCCUUCGGCGGGCUGAGGUACGCGCUCCGCAAGGAUGCUGGCGUAAUGGUCAUCAGCGAC